UGGACGAUGACAACAUCACAGAUUUGGGAGCUUUCGAGAGAAAAGUUUUGCGUAAAAUUUACAAUCCUCUACGAGUUUGUGAAGGCGAAUACCGCAGCCGAUGAAAUGAUGAGCUGUAUACGGUAGAUAUACGGCGACACUGACAUGUGAAGUUCAGCAAACCAAGAAACAGCGGCUACUCGGUAGGUCACGUGGUCCGGAUGGAUAAGAAUACUCCAACACUGAAAGUUUUCGAUGCAACAACCGCCGAUGGAAGCAAAGGAAGAGGAAGACCUAUGCUCUAUUGGGAAGACCAGGUAAAGAGGGACCUGGCUCUACUUGGUAUCUCCAAGCAGCGACGUUAUAAAUUCGGCUAAAAUUGCGUAAGCGGUAUCUACGCCACUAAAGUAAGUAAGUAAGAAGGCGAAUCCAUAUGCAAGAACGUAUGGAGAAAGACAUUCAAUGCAUGGACGGAAGAUUUGAAAGGCAAACACCAUCAUAAGGGCAGGUAAUUUCUCCGCAUCUACUCCCAAUAUAUUCUUCAAGGCCUGCAAUAUAUCAAGCAGGACCAAUGGUGUGUAACAUUCUACUGAUACUGCUGACGCUACGCCGAUUCGCCAAACUCCUCAAAGUGUUUCAUCUGCUCAAAGUGAAGUUUUGAGCCAAAUAAUAAAAGAAAUGAGCAAAGGUGGCGGAUAAUCGGCAAGUCCACGGAGCUCUCCAUUCAGUAGCGGUUCUGCGUGGACUAUCAAACACUAAAGAACGUGCUAAAGAAACACAGCUGUCCGUCAUUGACAAGUGGAAGUGAGCGAAGGAAAAUAUUGAGGCAGUAAAGAAUUGGCCUAGGCCCGACCGUUCGUUAGACUUUACUUAAGCUGACAAGCGUCCCAUUUAAUUAAAACAGGAAAUGUCAACUCUUGGACUGUUAACGAGGUUGAAAAGAAUAAUAAUAAAUAUAACGAUUAUGUUAAAUGAAGGCAAAAGGAUCUGAUAGAGUCACAUUGUCAGAAUGAUAGGCGAGAUGCUGUAACGGUUUCUGGCUUGCGGAAGCCAAUAAACGAUAUGAUGUUUUCGUCGCAGCAGAGAGAUGUGUCUAGUGCGGUGGAGUAAGUUCAAGAAUUAGAAGCGAUUGACGGUCAAUAUUCUUUUGUAAACUCCUCCAGUGGGAUGGAUGCAGCUUAUUUUGGAAAGAAUCGUGGAAGGACAAUGAUAAAGCAAUUGGAGAGCCGAGCCGGAUUCUCAAAGAAUUCGAAUGGUCUCGAGAAUUUUUAGUCAAAGGCUGGCGGCCAAUAAUAAUCCACAAAACCAAGUUAGAACAGUAAAAGAACCAGACGAAAACGUUGAAAGACAUUUUCGAAAAUUCAGAGGGUUAAUCACCCAACCCAAGGCCCAACUAACGAAGUGUGUCCUGAAGGUGAGAAGACAAUCCAUACACCAAAUUACGGAAGUGGAAAUUCCGUUAUAUUUUUAGACUCGCGCCAGAAAAAAAAUUAAAUCUUGUUCCUGAUAAUUAUUACUUUUUUGUCCUUAAAUAUUUGUUUUAAUUUAUUUAAGAAAAAAUACUUCCAUCUAGCAAUUCAACUGCAAAUCUACCAAAUUUAAAUAUUUCGUUAUUAU